rnacentral:lncRNA from 1 species
CGCGCGCCUAAGCCUUUAGAAAGGAGCCGAGUUAUCGACUCCGCUGCCGCAGUAAAACGCGCGACAGUGUUCGCUUCGCGAAGAGAUGUGGUUCCGUUCGAGGAAGCGGAGGCGAAGCUCGGGUUCCCAAAGUUACACGGGUGCCCCCCGCAGGCGAGUGCUUACACCUGCGUGAGCAGCUGCGGAAUAAAAGCUGGGGGAAACUUUGCCGAAUUCGAAAAUCAAAAGGUGGGGACGGCCGGCAGCGUGUGCUGGUUUCCCUCGCAGCCUCCAGCUCGCAAGGGCUUAUCCAGAAGCCUAAAGCGGACGCUGUCGCUAAGCGAAGAGGCAGCUCCACGGUGCCCGGGGGGGGAGGAUCGCGGCAGCUCGCCCGGGUCUCCCCUCCGGCGGGCGGCGGCCUCCCGCGUCGCUCGGCUGCAGGCAAGAACAGGCCUCGCCACGGCCCCUCACGCGGCCCCUCCUCCCGGCCGCCGACCCCAGGCCUUCCCGGUUCUGCAAAGCGCCAGCGCACCGCGCAGCUCGGGAGGACGGGGAAACAGAAAGAGGCUUUUCCCACCUUGUGGCCUCCUGCCUGCCUGUGAAGAGGAGCUAAGCAGCACCCGGAGAGGUAGAGAAUAA